CAGUAGCCACGGUAAUACGAAGGGUGCAAGCGUUACUCGGAAUUACUGGGCGUAAAGCGUGCGUAGGUGGUUGUUUAAGUCUGCUGUGAAAGCCCUGGGCUCAACCUGGGAAUUGCAGUGGAUACUGGGCGACUAGAGUAAGGUAGAGGAUAGUGGAAUUUCCGGUGUAGCAGUGAAAUGCGUAGAGAUCGGAAGGAACAUCUGUGGCGAAGGCGACUAUCUGGGCCAUUACUGACACUGAGGCACGAAAGCGUGGGGAGCAAACAGGAUUAGAUACCCCCGUAGUCCCUGUCUCUUAUAC
rnacentral:rRNA from 1 species